UGCACAUGGUCGUUUAAGAGUCCCUCAUAGUCAUCGACGUGGUCAAAAUUGGUUGGGUGAAACAUUUUAGAAAAAAAGAAAAACUUGUUUUUUUUUCUCCCUCUUCCUUCUCUCUCGCGACGAGCGGUGGCGACGCGGCGGAGAACGAUACUCUCGCAUCUGGGGUGUGCUUCUUCUUCUUGUUUUUGGGAUUAACCCACUUUGACGAAAUUCUACAAGAAGCAUAGUUUUAGAUGGAAGUGAUGCAAUUCUUCUUGGUGCUGAGACCCUUCGUGGAUUGUACCCGGUGGAAACCAUAUCAACUGUUGGUAGAAUCUGUUGUGAGAGAAGGUUUUCAACCAAGAUCUGUUCUUCAGAAAGACUGUCAAGUAUGUUAGAGAAGGCUUCUUCUGCUGUACGGGUAGCCAUCAAGGUUAAGGCAUCCGUGAUUAUAUGCUUUACCUCGUCUGGAAGAGCAGCAAGGCAAAGUUUUUGGCGGUAUUAAUCCUCAUUCCAUGGGCGUUAGACUUUUUGGCCCAUGAUUAUGUCCUUAGAUAGAUAUGUGAAGACUGUACCACUUGCUGCCCAGACGCUUGAUGUGAGACGAAAUCAGAAGCUAGAGUCAUAAUCGGGAAUAACACAAUCAUCUUUUAAUCAUAUUUCGUUUUUGUUACGGAUUGGGGAACAACACAAUCAUCUCUAGCUACACGGUUUUUAAUCCUUUGCAGCAGAACCAAAGGUACGUCUUUUUAAACUGUUUGAAGUUGCUUAACCAUCUUCACGUGGUUGAGAAUAUCUGGCAAAAGUUUGCCACAAAUCAAGAUUACAACGAAACUUUUUUCCCAUAUGUAAUUUCUACUUCUAUUUUAAUAUGCUUUUGUGUUUUGUAUGUUUAAAAGUUUAUGAAAUGCAAUAAUAAAAUCUUCAUUGUUUAAACAUUUAAA